UACGUAGGGGGCAAGCGUUGUCCGGAUUCAUUGGGCGUAAAGAGCGUGUAGGCGGCCAGGUAGGUCGGUUGUGAAAACUGGAGGCUCAACCUUCAGACGUCGACCGAAACCAUCUGGCUAGAGUCCGGGAGAGGAGAGUGGAAUUCCUGGUGUAGCGGUGAAAUGCGUAGAUAUCAGGAGGAACACCUGUGGUGUAGACGGCUUACUGGACUAUAACUGACGCUGAGGAACGAAAGCGUGGGUAGCAAACAGG
rnacentral:rRNA from 1 species